rnacentral:rRNA from 2 species
CACCAAAAUGCACAGGCUGUGAACUCGAAGAGUAGGGCGGGACACGUGGUAUCCUGUCUGAAUAUGGGGGGACCAUCCUCCAAGGCUAAAUACUCCUGACUGACCGAUAGUGAACCAGUACCGUGAGGGAAAGGCGAAAAGAACCCCGGCGAGGGGAGUGAAAAAGAACCUGAAACCGUGUACGUACAAGCAGUGGGAGCACCUUCGGGUGUGACUGCGUACCUUUUGUAUAAUGGGUCAGCGACUUAUAUUCUGUAGCAAGGUUAACCGUAUAGGGGAGCCGCAGGGAAACCGAGUCUUAACUGGGCGUUAAGUUGCAGGGUAUAGACCCGAAACCCGGUGAUCUAGCCAUGGGCAGGUUGAAGGUUGGGUAACACUAACUGGAGGACCGAACCGACUAAUGUUGAAAAAUUAGCGGAUGACUUGUGGCUGGGGGUGAAAGGCCAAUCAAACCGGGAGAUAGCUGGUUCUCCCCGAAAGCUAUUUAGGUAGCGCCUCGUGAAUUCAUCUUCGGGGGUAGAGCACUGUUUCGGCUAGGGGGUCAUCCCGACUUACCAACCCGAUGCAAACUACGAAUACCGAAGAAUGUUAUCACGGGAGACACACGGCGGGUGCUAACGUCCGUCGUGAAGAGGGAAACAACCCAGACCGCCAGCUAAGGUCCCAAAGUCAUGGUUAAGUGGGAAACGAUGUGGGAAGGCACAGACAGCCAGGAUGUUGGCUUAGAAGCAGCCAUCAUUUAAAGAAAGCGUAAUAGCUCACUGGUCGAGUCGGCCUGCGCGGAAGAUGUAACGGGGCUAAACCAUGCACCGAAGCUGCGGCAGCGACACUAUGUGUUGUUGGGUAGGGGAGCGUUCUGUAAGCCUGCGAAGGUGGCCUGUGAGGGUUGCUGGAGGUAUCAGAAGUGCGAAUGCUGACAUAAGUAACGAUAAAGCGGGUGAAAAGCCCGCUCGCCGGAAGACCAAGGGUUCCUGUCCAACGUUAAUCGGGGCAGGGUGAGUCGACCCCUAAGGCGAGGCCGAAAGGCGUAGUCGAUGGGAAACAGGUUAAUAUUCCUGUACUUGGUGUUACUGCGAAGGGGGGACGGAGAAGGCUAUGUUAGCCGGGCGACGGUUGUCCCGGUUUAAGCAUGUAGGCGGAGGUUCCAGGUAAAUCCGGUACCUUUUAACGCUGAGGUGUGAUGACGAGGCACUACGGUGCUGAAGUAACAAAUGCCCUGCUUCCAGGAAAAGCCUCUAAGCAUCAGGUAACAUUAAAUCGUACCCCAAACCGACACAGGUGGUCAGGUAGAGAAUACCAAGGCGCUUGAGAGAACUCGGGUGAAGGAACUAGGCAAAAUGGUGCCGUAACUUCGGGAGAAGGCACGCUGGUGUGUAGGUGAAGCCCCUGCGGGUGGAGCUGAGACCAGUCGAAGAUACCAGCUGGCUGCAACUGUUUAUUAAAAACACAGCACUGUGCAAACACGAAAGUGGACGUAUACGGUGUGACGCCUGCCCGGUGCCGGAAGGUUAAUUGAUGGGGUUAUCCGUAAGGAGAAGCUCUUGAUCGAAGCCCCGGUAAACGGCGGCCGUAACUAUAACGGUCCUAAGGUAGCGAAAUUCCUUGUCGGGUAAGUUCCGACCUGCACGAAUGGCGUAAUGAUGGCCAGGCUGUCUCCACCCGAGACUCAGUGAAAUUGAACUCGCUGUGAAGAUGCAGUGUACCCGCGGCAAGACGGAAAGACCCCGUGAACCUUUACUAUAGCUUGACACUGAACAUUGAGCCUUGAUGUGUAGGAUAGGUGGGAGGCUUUGAAGCGUGGACGCCAGUCUGCGUGGAGCCAACCUUGAAAUACCACCCUUUAAUGUUUGAUGUUCUAACGUUGGCCCCUUAUCGGGGUUGCGGACAGUGUCUGGUGGGUAGUUUGACUGGGGCGGUCUCCUCCCAAAGAGUAACGGAGGAGCACGAAGGUUAGCUAAUCCUGGUCGGACAUCAGGAGGUUAGUGCAAUGGCAUAAGCUAGCUUGACUGCGAGCGUGACGGCGCGAGCAGGUGCGAAAGCAGGUCAUAGUGAUCCGGUGGUUCUGAAUGGAAGGGCCAUCGCUCAACGGAUAAAAGGUACUCCGGGGAUAACAGGCUGAUACCGCCCAAGAGUUCAUAUCGACGGCGGUGUUUGGCACCUCGAUGUCGGCUCAUCACAUCCUGGGGCUGAAGUAGGUCCCAAGGGUAUGGCUGUUCGCCAUUUAAAGUGGUACGCGAGCUGGGUUUAGAACGUCGUGAGACAGUUCGGUCCCUAUCUGCCGUGGGCGCUGGAGAAUUGAGGGGGGCUGCUCCUAGUACGAGAGGACCGGAGUGGACGCAUCACUGGUGUUCGGGUUGUCAUGCCAAUGGCACUGCCCGGUAGCUAAAUGCGGAAGAGAUAAGUGCUGAAAGCAUCUAAGCACGAAACUUGCCCCGAGAUGAGUUCUCCCUGAGACUUUAAGUCUCCUGAAGGAACGUUGAAGACGACGACGUUGAUAGGCCGGGUGUGUAAGCGCAGCGAUGCGUUGAGCUAACCGGUACUAAUGAACCGUGAGGCUUAACCUU